GGGUGAGUAACGCGUGGGCAACCUGCCCUCUAGAUGGGGACAACAUCCCGAAAGGGGUGCUAAUACCGAAUGUGACAGCAAUCUCGCAUGAGGAUGCUGUGAAAGAUGGCCUCUAUUUAUAAGCUAUCGCUAGAGGAUGGGCCUGCGUCUGAUUAGCUAGUUGGUGGGGUAACGGCCUACCAAGGCGAUGAUCAGUAGCCGGUCUGAGAGGAUGAACGGCCACAUUGGGACUGAGACACGGCCCAGACUCC
rnacentral:rRNA from 1 species